rnacentral:rRNA from 1 species
UACGAGCUGUGCAAACGUUACUCGGAAUCAUUGGGCUUAAAGGGUGCGUAGGCGGCCUCGCAAGUCGGGUGUGAAAUGUCCUGGCUCAACCAGGGAAUUGCGCUCGAAACUGCGGGGCUCGAGGGAGAUAGAGGCAAGCGGAACUCAGGGUGGAGCGGUGAAAUGUGUUGAUAUCCUGGGGAACACCGGUGGCGAAAGCGGCUUGCUGGGUCUCUUCUGACGCUGAGGCACGAAAGCCAGGGGAGCGAACGGG